UGCGCCUUGCCAGCCCGCUCAGAAACUUAAAGGAAUUGACGGGGGCCCGCACAAGCGGUGGAGCAUGUGGUUUAAUUCGAUGGUACGCGAGAAACCUUACCAGGGCUUGACAUACACCGGAAGCGCCGUGAAAGCGGCGUGCCGCUUGCGGCCGGUGAACAGGUGCUGCAUGGCUGUCGUCAGCUCGUGCUGUGAAGUGUUGGGUUAAGUCCCCGCAACGAGCGCAACCCCUGCCGUCUGUUGCCACCACGAAAGGUGGGGACUCAGGCGGGACCGCCGGUGACAAACCGGAGGAAGGUGGGGACGACGUCAAGUCAUCAUGGCCCUUAUGUCCUGGGCCACACACGUGCUACAAUGGCCGGUACAGAGCGCAGCGAGGCCGCGAGGCGGAGCGAAUCGCUUAAAGCCGGUCCCAGUACGGAUUGGAGUCUGCAACCCGACUCCAUGAAGUUGGAAUCGCUAGUAAUCGCGCAUCAGCAUGGCGCGGUGAAUACGUUCCCGGGCCUU
rnacentral:rRNA from 1 species